AGAGUUUGAUCAUGGCUCAGGAUGAACGCUGGCGGCGUGCUUAACACAUGCAAGUCGAACGAACCUUCGGGUGAGUGGCGGACGGGUGAGUAACGCGUGGGAAUCUGCCCUCAGGAGGGGGAUAACGACUGGAAACGGUCGCUAAUACCCCAUAUGCCGAGAGGUGAAAUGAAUUUCGCCUGAGGAUGAGCCCGCGUCUGAUUAGCUAGUUGGUGGGGUAAGAGCCUACCAAGGCGACGAUCAGUAGCUGGUCUGAGAGGAUGAUCAGCCACACUGGGACUGAGACACGGCCCAGACUCCUACGGGAGGCAGCAGUGGGGAAUUUUCCGCAAUGGGCGAAAGCCUGACGGAGCAACGCCGCGUGAGGGAUGAAGGCCUCUGGGCUGUAAACCUCUUUUCUCAAGGAAGAAGAUCUGACGGUACUUGAGGAAUAAGCCACGGCUAAUUCCGUGCCAGCAGCCGCGGUAAUACGGGAGUGGCAAGCGUUAUCCGGAAUCAUUGGGCGUAAAGCGUCCGCAGGUGGCUUUGUAAGUCUGCCGUUAAAGCGUGGAGCUUAACUCCAUUUCAGCGGUGGAAACUACAGAGCUUGAGUGUGGUAGGGGCAGAGGGAAUUCCCGGUGUAGCGGUGAAAUGCGUAGAUAUCGGGAAGAACACCAGUGGCGAAGGCGCUCUGCUGGGCCAUAACUGACACUCAUGGACGAAAGCCAGGGGAGCGAAAGGGAUUAGAUACCCCUGUAGUCCUGGCCGUAAACGAUGAACACUAGGCGUCGGGGGAAUCGACCCCCUCGGUGUCGUAGCCAACGCGUUAAGUGUUCCGCCUGGGGAGUACGCACGCAAGUGUGAAACUCAAAGGAAUUGACGGGGGCCCGCACAAGCGGUGGAGUAUGUGGUUUAAUUCGAUGCAACGCGAAGAACCUUACCAGGGUUUGACAUCCUGCGAACCCCUGAGAAAUCGGGGGGUGCCUUCGGGAACGCAGUGACAGGUGGUGCAUGGCUGUCGUCAGCUCGUGUCGUGAGAUGUUGGGUUAAGUCCCGCAACGAGCGCAACCCACGUCUUUAGUUGCCAGCAUUUAGUUGGGCACUCUAGAGAGACCGCCGGUGAUAAACCGGAGGAAGGUGUGGAUGACGUCAAGUCAUCAUGCCCCUUACAUCCUGGGCUACACACGUACUACAAUGCUACGGACAAAGGGCAGCAAACUCGCGAGAGCAAGCAAAUCCCAUAAACCGUGGCUCAGUUCAGAUCGUAGGCUGCAACUCGCCUACGUGAAGGAGGAAUCGCUAGUAAUCGCAGGUCAGCAUACUGCGGUGAAUACGUUCCCGGGCCUUGUACACACCGCCCGUCACACCAUGGAAGUUAGCCACGCCCGAAGUCGUUACUCCAACCCUUGUGGAGGAGGAUGCCGAAGGUGGGGCUGAUGACUGGGGUGAAGUCGUAACAAGGUAACC
rnacentral:rRNA from 1 species